rnacentral:rRNA from 1 species
AUGGCGCAGUCCGGCAACAACGAUGCCGCCCUGAUCAGCACCCAGCCCGCAGUGGUAAGGGAUCUCGCCCCGAGGUUUGUUUCGGUUUUUCAAUUUCCUCUUGAUUUAGUGUUGAUCUGUGGUUUGUUGGCACGCGUGCAGGAGGACGUGACGGCGGCCGCACAAGCUGUCGUGCUAGCCGCUGCGGCCUACGCGUACGCUGAGCAGGGCGCUGGCUCGCUCCACCCCGGCGUCGACCACAUCAAGGGGACCAUCAAGGCCGUCAUUGGCCCUGUCUAUGACCGCUACCAUGCCAUGCCGCUCGAUCUCCUCAAGUUCCUCGACUGCAAGUUGAGAACCUCAACCUUAUUUCUUAGUUGUAUGCAAGGAUCUAUUAUCCGAUCCAGUUCCUGGCUGCUGCUUUUCACCAUGGGAGCACCUAGCUGUUCUCUGCUUCUUGAUUUCUCGUCGCAUCUGCAUAGUGCACCGCCGGAUUCGAGGGUGGAGGCCGAGCCUCCACUAGAGCAUGGAUCAGACAUGCAGGAGGUGGGGCUCCGCAUGGAUCAGGAUGUGGUCGUCGUGAAUUUUGAUGCCAAGACGGAGUACGACAUGAUCCAGUACUCAAGUUAUGCUCAUAGCUGUGUAUAG